AUAGAACUUGAUAUUUAUAUUUUACUGUCAAAUUUUUAGUUUACUUUCUACUCCGUGCAGUGAGGUUUUUGUGAUUUUUAUUAACAAAUUAAUUAAUAAUGUCUUCGGCCAAGACCUCGGAUUUGGACCUCGAUGAUAUUUCAGACAUAGAUAUAACAUUGAUGACGCUCAGGAAACCGACUGAGCUGAAGAAGGUGAUUGACUCGAUACCAAAACCUGUUAGAGCUGUUCCCAAAAAUGGAUUACCGCUGUGGUAUAGACUUGGGCUUGAAAAUAAGCUGCCUAUGCCAAAAAUGCCAGCUGGGAAAAUUAUAUUCUCGCGCGGAAAGAUUGGUGAAGAUGUGCGUCGUCUCGGCCUCGGCAAAGACGGCCCGCAGCCGACCUUCGACCUGACUGAUCCGUACUGCAACAACGUAUCCUAUGACUACGUGCCCAUGCAUGACCCACACCUGGCUCAUCACUUCGCGCAGAAGCCGGCGAGGAGACGCAUGAAGCAGCUCGGCUACUGCACCAAGGAAGGCAGGGCGGUGUGCUCACUGAAGGAGUUCAAUCAGUACAGGAAAUAUCUGUACAAUCAGUUCAUGGACCGAAUUCAUGUGGAGAUGAGGAAUCUGGAUGAGCGAGCGCGCGAUGACUUGACGCUGAAGCGAGUGGAGGUGGACGUGGCGCGGCGGUUGCAGGUAUUCACCAAAGCGGAGAAGGCCAGAGAACACCUAGAGAGGGUAGCGCAGGAACAUGCAGAUGAAUGGGCCGAAAAAAAACGACUAGCCAAAGAACAAGAGAAGAAAAUACAAGCCAGAAUGAAAUAUUUGGCGGAGUACAACGAGAAGCAACGUCGCGAGCGAGCGGCGCGUGCGCAUGAGAAACAGAACCGAAUAAAGCAGAGAGUUCAGGCCGCGGCGGAGAUGGAGCUGCGAAGAAAGAUUACCAUGGUUCGCCAGUGGCGGACGAAUGAGAAGAAGCGAUUCGACUAAAGAAAGGGAGGCCAAAAAGAAACGACUUGAGGAUGAGGCAAAUGAGAAAUGGAGAAUGCGUGUAGAGGCUCAGAAUCAAAAAAUACAAGAAGAAGCACUCCUCCCCUGCUGCCACACAGAAGAUAUGACGGCUGGAGCGAUGAGACGAGCAAAGAAGGCAGAGGUUUACGCGUACAAUACGGACUUGGAACUGCAGAGAAUCAGACUAGCCAAUUGGAAACAACCACGGCGGCACAGCGAAGGCGAAUCAACUCGUUAGGAAAAUGGGCGUGGAAUUUGAAAAGUCCAAGCGUGGAGCAAAGGCAUGAGCCCUGAGCUAGCGCAGCAACUGGCGGUCGAGGCGAUGGCCACAGCGGUGUCGACACAAGGCGACGCUCUGAUGACUUUGGGACAGGCGCGGGCCAGGAUGGAUCUGCAAACUGUGUUGCCUUCUGCUCCAGUCAAGUUGCUUGAAGAGGUAUUCUAUCCCAAAAAAAAUAUUGAACGCGGUGUGACGCGGCGGCGCGUGCACCUGCUGCUGCGCGACGUGGAGCGCGUGGUGAGCUCGCGCGCCGCGCACGUGUUCUUCCAGAAUUACCGCCCCACCGCCGCCAAGAAACGCGCGAAAGUACCACGAUGGUCCGUCCAAGUGGCAGCAGAGCUGGCGAGGCAAUACGUGAACGUUGACGGCGCGUCGAUAGCGUUCGGCGAGAUCGUGACCAUCGCGCCGGAGACCACCACCGAUGUCGACAUGAAGAGCGUCAAGGAUCGACCCCCCACGCCUGUGGUAACGCUGCGACCAACAAUGCUUAUUUUCUUCUAUCAAAGGCACGGUAAAGUGCUUUACUACAAGUCUGCACGCGAUGGUAAGUGAAGUGACGUCCAAAAAGAAUACCAACCGGCAAGAGAUAAAUAUAUCUCCAGAAUGAGGGCUCACGGCACAGUUAUGACGACCUGCCUAUUCUCUUCACGCUCCGAUUGAAGGACCCCAAGAAGUAGGAAAAGGGAAACACGUAUGCUGGCACACUAUUCCACAGCUUUGGGGCCGUGCAAGUAUUACGUAACGCAAUUUUUAUUGAUAUUUGACCCUCCACCCCCCAUGUAACGCGCCGUAAGGUU
rnacentral:sRNA from 1 species